rnacentral:rRNA from 1 species
GAAACGACUGCUAAGACUGGAUAGGAAGUUUUAAGGCAUCUUGAAACUUUUAAAAGACCCGCAAGGGUAUGCUAAGAGAUGGGCUUGCGGCACAUUAGUUAGUUGGUAAGGUAACGGCUUACCAAGACUAUGAUGUGUAGCUGGACUGAGAGGUUGAACGGCCACAUUGGGAUUGAGAUACGGCCCAAACUCCUACGGGAGGCAGCAGUAAGGAAUUCUCGGCAAUGGAGGAAACUCUGACCGAGCAACGCCGCGUGAACGAUGAAAUAUUUAGGUAUGUAAAGUUCUUUUAUUAAAGAAGAAAAAAUGAUGGAAAAAUCACUCUGACGGUAUUUAAUGAAUAAGCCCCGGCUAACUAUGUGCCAGCAGCUGCGGUAAUACAUGGGGGGCAAGCGUUAUCCGGAUUUAUAGGGCGUAAAGGGUGUGUAGGCGGUUUAAUAAGUCUAUGGUAUAAGUUCAACGCUUAACGUUGUGAUGCUAUGGAAACUGUUUGACUAGAGUUGGAUAGAGGCAAGUGGAAUUCCAUGUGUAGCGGUAAAAUGCGUAAUAUAUGGAGGAACACCAGUAGCGAAGGCGGCUUGCUGGGUCUUAACUGACGCUGAGGCACGAAAGCGUGGGGAGCAAACAGGAUUAGAUACCCUGGUAGUCCACGCCGUAAACGAUGAGUACUAAGUGUUGGGUUAAACCAGUGCUGAAGUUAACACAUUAAGUACUCCGCCUGAGUAGUACGUACGCAAGUAUGAAACUUAAAGGAAUUGACGGGACUCCGCACAAGCGGUGGAUCAUGUUGUUUAAUUCGAAGAUACACGAAAAACCUUACCAGGUCUUGACAUACUCUGCAAAGCUAUAGAAAAUAUAGUGGAGGUUAUCAGGGAUACAGGUGGUGCAUGGUUGUCGUCAGCUCGUGUCGUGAGAUGUUGGGUUAAGUCCCGCAACGAGCGCAACCCUUAUCGCUAGUUACCAUCAUUUAGUUGGGCACUUUAGUGAGACUGCCAAUGAUAAAUUGGAGGAAGGUGGGGAUUACGUCAAAUCAUCAUGCCCCUUAUGACCUGGGCUACAAACGUGAUACAAUGGCUGUUACAAAGAGUAGCUGAAGCGUGAGUUUUUAGCAAAUCUCAAAAAAACAGUCUCAGUUCGGAUUGAAGUCUGCAACUCGACUUCAUGAAGUCGAAUCGCUAGUAAUCGCGAAAUCAGCAUGUCGUGGUGAAUACGUUCUCGGGGUUUGUACACACCGCCCGUC